rnacentral:lncRNA from 10 species
GUCGAUGGUAUCAUUUUAAGAUGAAUUCAUGUUUUAGAUGUACAUGUAUAGUAUUUCAUAAUGUGGGAUAAACUUCAGCAUUUAACUUAUUCAUUCUAAUGAUGAACAACACAUAGUUUACCACCAACUCCCGUCAGUGAUAGACAACAUUGGCCUAAACAUCCCUGCAUAUGCCUAGGCACCUCUGUGUGAGUUUCUUUGGGACAGGGUUCUCAACUAUGUUUGUGCUAUGACUCCUUUAGCAGUCUGCAAAAACCAGAUGGAUCUUGAUGGCUAAUGGUGAUAUAUUAAACUUAACCACUUAGUGAACCCUCUUUAUAAUUGAUAUCAAAAAGAACAUGUUUGGAAGAUCAAGUUAUACAUUGUGUGCCAGAGCUUGUAUUGAUCUUUUCUGUUAAAUAUGACCAUUUAAUAAAACUCUCUCAAAAUAACAUUCUUAAAGGCAUAAGAUAAAAUAUAUAGAAUUACAAAAGAAACAACUUAUAUUAAUAUACAGUAAAUGUUUACCUUAAUGAAUUAAAUAACAAGAUAUCAUCACUAUGACAGUUUCAAAAUAGUGAUAGCCAUAAGUAAUAAUGUAAAAUGAAAAUAUUUAUGAUUUCUAUUCAUCACAAUGUCAGUAUUACUGUGGUUUAUUGUCUACCUAUAUAAUUAAAGAAAAUGCUAAAUUUCAUUAGCACACAUAGCUGUGCCUCUGGACGGAUUUUUCCCUUACUGCUCUCCUUUUGCACCAUUCUUGGGUAGAGUUGUGUGUUCCAGCAGUCCGUUCGUGGCUCACAACAACAUCCUGAGUGACCCAUCUGACAACCAAGCCUAAGUCAUAUCUUCCCC